UGCUAAGACUGGAUAGGAAAUUAAGAGGCAUCUUUUAAUUUUUAAAAGACCUUUUUCGAAAGGUAUACUUAAAGAGGGGCUUGCGCCACAUUAGUUAGUUGGUAAGGUAAAGGCUUACCAAGACGAUGAUGUGUAGCUGGACUGAGAGGUCGAACAGCCACAUUGGGACUGAGACACGGCCCAAACUCCUACGGGAGGCAGCAGUAAGGAAUUUUUGGCAAUGGAGGAAACUCUGACCGAGCGACGUCGCGUGAACAAUGAAGUACUUCGGUAUGUAAAGUUCUUUUAUUGAAAAAGAAAAAAUAGUGGAAAAACUAUCUUGACAUUAUUCAAUGAAUAAGCCCCGGCUAAUUAUGUGCCAGCAGCCGCGGUAAUACAUAAGGGGCGAGCGUUAUCCGGAAUUAUUGGGCGUAAAGGGUGCGUAGGCGGUUUGAUAAGUCUAUAGUUUAAAUGCAGUGCUUAACGCUGUAGCGCUAUAGAAACUGUCUGACUAGAGUUAGAUAGAGGCAAGCGGAAUUCCAUGUGUAGCGGUAAAAUGCGUAAAUAUAUGGAGGAACACCAGAGGCGUAGGCGGCUUGCUGGGUCUUAACUGACGCUGAGGCACGAAAGCGUGGGGAGCAAACAGGAUUAGAUACCCUGGUAGUCCACGCCGUAAACGAUGAGUACUAAGUGUCGGGUUUCGGCUCGGUACUGAAGUUAACACAUUAAGUACUCCGCCUGAGUAGUACGUACGCAAGUAUGAAACUUAAAGGAAUUGACGGGACCCCGCACAAGCGGUGGAUCAUGUUGUUUAAUUCGAAGAUACACGAAAAACCUUACCAGGUCUUGACAUAAUUUUGCGACAUUAUAGAAAUAUAAUGAAGGUUAUCAGAAUUACAGGUGGUGCAUGGUUGUCGUCAGCUCGUGUCGUGAGAUGUUAGGUUAAGUCCCUAAAACGAGCGCAACCCUUGUCGUUAGUUGCGACCACGUAAUGGUGAGCACUUUAGCGAGACUGCCAAUGAAAAAUUGGAGGAAGGUGAGGAUUACGUCAAAUCAUCAUGCCCCUUAUGAUCUGGGCUACAAACGUGAUACAAUGGCUGUUACAAAGAGUAGCUACAACGUGAGUUUUUAGCCAAUCUCAAAAUAACUGCCUCAGUUCGGAUUGUGUCUGCAACUCUACAUCAUGAAGUUGGAAUCGCUAGUAAUCGCGAAUCAGCAUGUCGCGGUGAAUACGUUCUCGGGGUUUGUACACACCGCCCG
rnacentral:rRNA from 1 species